rnacentral:rRNA from 1 species
CCUACGUGAGGCUGCAGUGGGGAAUAUUGGACAAUGGGGGCAACCCUGAUCCAGCCAUGCCGCGUGUGUGAAGAAGGCCCUCGGGUUGUAAAGCACUUUCAGUGAGGAAGAACGCCUGGUGGUUAAUACCCAUCAGGAAAGACAUCACUCACAGAAGAAGCACCGGCUAACUCCGUGCCAGCAGCCGCGGUAAUACGGAGGGUGCGAGCGUUAAUCGGAAUUACUGGGCGUAAAGCGCGCGUAGGUGGCUUGAUAAGCCGGUUGUGAAAGCCCCGGGCUCAACCUGGGAACGGCAUCCGGAACUGUCAAGCUAGAGUGCAGGAGAGGAAGGUAGAAUUCCCGGUGUAGCGGUGAAAUGCGUAGAGAUCGGGAGGAAUACCAGUGGCGAAGGCGGCCUUCUGGACUGACACUGACACUGAGGUGCGAAAGCGUGGGUAGCAAACAGGAUUAGAUACCCCGGUAGUC